GGUUACAGGUGUAUAACAGAGAUGUAUGAGCCGAGUAAUACUAAUUACCCGAAGCGCUUUU
rnacentral:rRNA from 1 species